rnacentral:rRNA from 1 species
UACGUAGGGGGCAAGCGUUGUUCGGAAUUACUGGGCGUAAAGGGCGCGUAGGCGGCACAGCAAGUCGGGAGUGAAAGCCCGGGGCUCAACCCCGGAAAGCCGGUGGAUACUGUCGGGCUAGAGUCCGGAAGAGGCGAGUGGAAUUCCUGGUGUAGCGGUGAAAUGCGCAGAUAUCAGGAGGAACACCGGUGGCGAAGGCGGGUCUCUGGGCCGAUACUGACGCUGAGGAGCGAAAGCAUGGGUAGCGAACAGG